rnacentral:rRNA from 1 species
GUGACUCCUACGGGAGGCAGCAGUGGGGAAUAUUGCACAAUGGGGGAAACCCUGAUGCAGCAACGCCGCGUGGGUGAAGAAGUAUUUCGGUAUGUAAAGCCCUAUCUGCAGGGAAGAGAAUGACGGUACCUGACUAAGAAGCCCCGGCUAACUACGUGCCAGCAGCCGCGGUAAUACGUAGGGGGCAAGCGUUAUCCGGAUUUACUGGGUGUAAAGGGGGCGUAGACGGCAGUGCAAGUCUGAAGUGAAAGGCCCGGGCUUAACCCGGGAAUUGCUUUGGAAACUGUGCGGCUGGAGUGCUGGAGAGGGAAGCGGAAUUCCUAGUGUAGCGGUGAAAUGCGUA